CUGACUGCGCCUCCGCCCCCGAGCGCCAGGGCAGGCGGAGUUGCGGGUGAAGGGAGGGAUGUUUGGGGGGCGGGGGUCCCGAUGACGGCAUCGGAGCGCGCCGCGUCGGGGCGCGGACCUGGUCUACGCGUCCCGGGACUGCGCUCGCACCCUGGCAGAUCCCGGAGCCACUCUCUUUAAACAUGGGGCUGGAGGCCCAGAAGCUGUCGGGGGCUGAGGAGGCCCCAGUGAGGGUGGCCCUUCGAGUUCGCCCCUUGCUGCCCAAGGAGCUGCUCCAUGGUCAUCAGAGUUGCCUGCAGGUGGAGCCUGAGCGUGGUCGAAUCACCCUGGGUCGUGACCGCCAUUUUGGAUUCCAUGUGGUACUGGGAGAGGACGCCGGGCAAGAGGCUGUGUACCAGGCUUGCGUGCAGCCCCUCCUCGAGGCUUUCUUUGAGGGCUUCAAUGCCACCGUCUUUGCCUAUGGUCAAACAGGCUCUGGGAAGACGUAUACCAUGGGGGAGGCCAGCGUGGCCUCCCUGCAUGAAGAUGAGCAAGGUAUUAUCCCAAGGGCCAUGGCUGAGGCCUUCAAGCUCAUCGAUGAGAAUGACCUGCUGGACUGCCUGGUACACGUAUCCUACCUGGAACUGUACAAGGAAGAGUUCCGAGAUCUGCUCGAAGUGGGCACUGCCAGCCGGGACAUCCAGCUUCGGGAAGAUGAUCGGGGAAAUGUUGUGCUCUGUGGGGUGAAAGAAGUGGACGUGGAAGGCCUGGACGAGGUGCUGAGCCUCCUGGAGAUGGGCAACGCUGCGCGGCACACAGGAGCCACACACUUCAACCGCCUCUCCAGCCGCUCGCACACAGUCUUCACUGUGACCCUGGAGCAGAGAGGACGGGCUCCUACCCGCUUGCCUCGACCUGGCGCUGGCCACCUGCUGGUCUCUAAAUUCCACUUCGUGGACCUGGCAGGCUCUGAGAGGGUUCUGAAGACCGGCAGCACCGGCGAACGGCUCAAAGAGAGCAUCCAGAUUAACAGUACCCUGCUGGCCCUGGGAAAUGUCAUUAGUGCUCUGGGAGACCCCCAGCGCCGAGGCAGCCACAUCCCUUACCGUGACUCCAAGAUCACCCGGAUCCUCAAAGACUCUCUGGGAGGGAAUGCCAAGACAGUGAUGAUCGCCUGCGUCAGCCCCUCCUCCUCCGACUUCGAUGAAACCCUUAACACCCUAAACUACGCCAGCCGUGCCCAGAACAUCCGCAAUCGUGCCACAGUCAACUGGCGUCCAGAAGCCGAGCGUGUCCCUGAGGAACAGGCGGCGGGUGCGCGCGGGCCGCCGCGACACCGCUCGGAGACGCGCAUCAUCCACCGUGGCCGGCGCGUGCUCUGCCCAGGGGUGGGCUCCGCGGCAGUCGCUCCGGGGCUGGGCACUGAGUGCGCGCGCUGCCGGGCCCGCACCAGCGCCGCCUACAGCCUCCUGCGAGAGCUGCAGGCCGAGCCUGGGCUACCGGGCGCUGCUGCCCGCAAAGUGCGGGACUGGCUGUGCGCGGUGGAGGGUGAACGCAGCGCCCUGAGCUCUGCCUCUGGGCCCGACAGCGGCAUCGAAAGCGCUCCAGCUGAUGACCAGGCGGCACAGGGGACCAGCGGGAGAAAGGGAGAUGAGGGGGCCCAGCAGCUGUUGAUCCUGCAGAGCCAAGUGGCCCGGCUAGAGGAGGAGAAUCGAGACUUCCUGGCGGCUUUGGAGGACGCCAUGGAGCAGUACAAACUGCAGAGCGACCGCCUGCGGGAGCAGCAGGAAGAGAUGGUGGAACUUCGGCUACGCCUAGAGCUGGCACAGCCUGGCUGGGGAGCACCGGGGCUCCUGCAGGGCCUGUCACCAGGAUCCUUCGUACCCCGGCCUCACACAGCCCCCCUGGGGGGUGCCCACACUCACAUGACGGGCACGAUGCCCCGGACAUGUCUCCCUGGAGAAGAAGUUAGUUCUGAGCAGCAGGUGGCGAAUGGCAAGGAAGCCAAGGCGGAGUUGUUGGCCCAGGUGGACAAGCUGGGCAGUGCCUCCUCCACUACAUCAGAGGAGGAAGAGGAGGAGGAGGAGGAGCCACCCAGGAGGACCUUACACCUGCGCAGGAAUGGAAUCAGCAACUGGAGUCAGAGGGCAGGGGUGCGUCCUGGGAGCCCACCUGACAGGAAGGGCCCAGAGGUCUGCCCAGAAGAGCCAGCUGCUGCCAUCCCAGCACCACAAGCAGUCGGUGGUAGCAAGGCCCCGGGUCAGACCCGCCAGGCCCCAGCUGCCAUGGCCUCCGAGUGGCGACUGGCCCAGGCCCAGCAGAAGAUCCGGGAACUGGCCAUCAACAUCCGCAUGAAGGAGGAGCUCAUUGGUGAGCUGGUCCGCACAGGGAAGGCGGCCCAGGCCCUGAACCGCCAGCACAGCCAACGCAUUCGGGAGCUGGAGCAGGAGGCCGAGCGAGUGCGGGGGGAGCUGUGUGAAGGGCAGAGGCAGCUUCGUGAGCUGGAGGGCAGGGAGCCUCAGGAUGCCAGCGAGAGGUCCAGGCUUCAGGAAUUCCGUAAGAGAGUGGCUGCAGCCCAAAGCCAGGUGCAGGUACUGAGGGAGAAGAAGCAGGCAACAGAGCGGCUGGUGUCACUGUCGGCUCAAAGUGAGACUCGGCUACAGGAGCUGGAGAGGAAUGUGCAGCUCAUGCGGCGACAGCAGGGGCAGCUGCAGAGGCGGCUCCGAGAGGAGACAGAGCAGAAGCGGCGUCUAGAGACGGAGAUGAACAAGAGACAGCAUCGUGUCAAGGAGCUGGAGCUGAAGCAUGAGCAACAGCAGAAGAUCCUGAAAAUCAAGACAGAAGAGAUUGCAGCCUUCCAGAGGAAUAGACGCAGUGGCAGCAAUGGCUCUGUGGUGAGCCUGGAGCAGCAGCAGAAAAUUGAGGAGCAGAAGAAGUGGCUGGACCAGGAGAUGGAAAAGGUGCUACAGCAGCGGCGGGCGCUGGAGGAGUUGGGAGAGGAGCUCCGCAAGCGGGAGGUCAUUCUGGCUAAGAAGGAGGCCCUGAUGCAGGAGAAGACUGGACUAGAGAGCAAGCGCAUGAGGUCUAGCCAGGCCCUAAAUGAAGACAUCGUGCGCGUGUCCAGCCGUCUAGAACACCUGGAGAAGGAGCUAUCUGAGAAGAGUGGUCAGCUGCGGCAAGGCAGCGCCCUGAACCAACAGCAGAUCCGAGGGGAGAUAGACACCCUGCGCCAGGAGAAGGACUCGCUGCUGAAGCAACGCCUGGAGAUCGAUAGCAAGCUGAGGCAGGGAAGCCUGCUGUCACCUGAGGAGGAGAGGACACUGUUCCAGCUGGAUGAAGCCAUAGAGGCCCUGGAUGCUGCCAUCGAGUACAAGAAUGAGGCUAUUACAUGCCGCCAGCGGGUGCUGCGGGCCUCGGCCUCCUUGCUGUCCCAGUGUGAGAUGAAUCUCAUGGCCAAGCUCAGCUACCUUUCUUCCUCAGAGACCAGAGCCCUGCUGUGCAAGUAUUUUGACAAGGUGGUGACUCUCAGAGAGGAGCAACACCAGCAACAGAUUGCCUUCUCGGAGCUGGAGAUGCAGCUGGAGGAGCAGCAGCGGCUGGUGUAUUGGCUGGAGGUGGCCCUGGAGCGGCAGCGCCUGGAGAUGGACCGCCAGCUGACGCUGCAGCAGAAGGAGCAUGAGCAGAACGUGCAGCUGCUCCUUCAGCAGGGUCGAGACCACCUUGGCGAGGGGUUAGCAGACAGCAAGAGGCAAUAUGAGGCCCGGAUUCAAGCUCUGGAGAAGGAACUAGGUCGACACAUGUGGAUAAACCAGGAGCUCAAACAAAAGCUCAGUGCGGGAAACACUGCAGGCCAGAGCCGGGGUUGUGAGAGGAGAAGCCACUGCCUGGAAAAUAGACAAGGCCUUGGAAAUGAAGAUGGGCCCCAUGUAGCAGCUCAGGAACCUCUCUGGCCAUCUUCCCUUCUGGAAGGGGCACCCCGUGUGUGGGAUGAGUCCCGGGACUUGGUCCACGCCCCGCUACCUCUGACAUGGAAACGCUCAAGCUUGUGCAGUGAACAGGGCUCCUCUGAGGAGCCUAGGGCACGGGAAACAACAGAACCCCCAGUAGGGCGGGUGCUACCCAUGGGUGAAGUGAGCCUCUCCUGGAACUUUGGACCCUUGCCUAAGCCUCGGUGGGAACCCCGAAGAACCAGCCCAGGGAUGAUCGACGUCAGGAAAAACCCCUUGUAGGCUUUGAUCAGACCUUGAUUCCAGUCCUGCUGAGAGGAAAGGCUGCCUGUUUUGCUUCUCUGAAGGACAGUCCUUACCUCACACUGUAUAUACAGUCUCAUCUUUACAUCAAUUGGAGUCAGCAAAUAUGGGCCACACCCAAAAGAAUUAGCCUUUCCCUACUACGUUGUUUACCUCAAAGUGAACACAUCUCUGAGAGGAGAAAUGGGAGUUUUCAGUUGGAAUCUGACAACAGGAAUAUCUCUGAGACCACAACAGGGUUGAAUCUUCUGGGGAGACUGAGAAGUCAACAGACCUACACUUGACAGCCAGGCCUCAUUACCUGACUUCUGCUGGGAGGAGUGGAUUCUUUGCACACUUCGAGACUUUGGCUGAGAUACAGAAUAGAAGGAGCCAGAAUUUGUUCUGCUAAAUGACAGCUGCUUGAUUCGAGGACUUCUUCUCAAAAUCAUCUCUGAAAAACCGGAAGCAGAGCUGGAGACUCUUCAACUACAUGAAUAUCAGGACCAGGAUCAGAAGACCUUAAAGAGCAACCAGCACAGAGUCAAUGCACUCAUGACUGGGCAGGCCGGCUCAGGAGGUAAAGGUGUUUGUGCCAAGCCCAACAACCAGAGCUAUAUCUCCAGAACCCAAACGACAGAAGGACAGAACCAAUUCUAAAAACUAUCCUCAACCUCCACAUGCACUGUUGUGCAAGUACACACACACACACACACACACACACACACAACUCCCCUUCUCUUCCUCUCUCUUAAAAUAUAAAAAGCAACAACAAAACACAUUAAAGAUAGAAAAUAUUUGAA